ACUGCUAUCGGGAUGAGAUUAAGCCAUGCAAGUUCCGCGUUUCCUAGUUAUGGUGGAGAUGCGGCGAACGGCUCAGUAACAUGUGGUUAACUUGCCCUAAGAACGGGGAUAACCUCGGGAAACUGGGGCUAAUACCUGAUGGACAGAAAUGCCUGGAAUGGUUUUCUGUUGAAAGGGUGUUAAUACCAUGCAUUUAACAUUGUCUUAGGAUAGGGCCACACCCGAUCAGGUUGAUGGUGAGGUAAUGGCUCACCAUGCCUAUAACCGGUACGGGCCGUGAGAGCGGGAGCCCGGAGAUGGGCACUGAGAUAAGGGCCCAGGCCCUACGGGGCGCAGCAGGCGCGAAAACUCCGCAAUGCGCGAAAGCGUGACGGGGUCAUCCCGAGUGCCAUCCGCUGAGGAUAGCUUUUGUUCGGUUUAAGGAGCCGAGAGAAUAAGGGGAGGGCAAGCCUGGUGUCAGCCGCCGCGGUAAUACCAGCUCCCCGAGUGGUUGGGACGAUUAUUGGGUCUAAAGCGUUCGUAGCCUGUUGAAGAAGUUCUCCGUUAAAUCCAACGAUCUAAUCGUUGGGCCGCGGGGAUUACUCUUCAGCUUGGGGGCGGAGGAUGUCGACGGUAGUCCCGGGGUAGGGGCGAAAUCCUAUAAUCCCGGGAGGACCACCAGUGGCGAAGGCGGUCGACAAAUACGCGCCCGACGGUGAGGGACGAAAGCUGGGGGAGCGAACGGGAUUAGAUACCCCGGUAGUCCCAGCUGUAAACGAUGCAGGCUAGGUGUUAGGACGGCUACGAGCCGUUCUAGUGCCGCAGGGAAGCCGUUAAGUCUGCCACCUGGGAAGUACGGCCGCAAGGCUGAAACUUAAAGGAAUUGGCGGGGGAGCACCACAAGGGGUGAAGCCUGCGGUUUAAUUGGAGCAACCCCGGGAACCUUACCAGGAGCGACAGUUGAAUGACGGUCAGAUUAAAGGUCUUACUCGACUAUCUGAGAGGAGGUGCAUGGCCGUCGCCAGUUCGUGCCGUGAGGUGUUCUCUUAAGUGAGACAACGAACAAGACCCGUACCCCUAGUUGCCAGCAGAUUCCUUACGGAAUCUGAGCACACUAUGGGGACUGCCUCCGCUAAGGGGGGGGAAGGAGCGGGCCACGGCAGGUCAGUAUGCCCCAGAUCUCCUGGGCCACACGCGGGCUGCAAUGGUUGGGACAAUGAGUUCCGACCUCGAAAGAGAAAGGUAAUCUUUAAACCCAACCUCAGUAGGAAUCGAGGGCUGCAACCCGCCCUCGUGAACAUGGAAUCCCUAGUAACCGCGCGUCAUCAUCGCGCGGUGAAUACGUCCCUGCUCCUUGCACACACCGCCCGUCGCUCCACCCGAGUUUUGUUCUGGUGAGGUGUGGUCUCAUUGGCCAUAUCGAACCUAAACUAAGCGAGGGGGGAAAAGUCGUAACAAGGUG
rnacentral:rRNA from 1 species